rnacentral:rRNA from 1 species
CCUACUGGAGGCAGCAGUGGGGAAUAUUUGGCAAUGGGCGCAAGCCUGACCCAGCAACGCCGCGUGAAUGAAGAAGGCUUUCGGGGUGUAAACUUCUUGUAUCAGGGACGAAGCAAGUGACGGUACCUGAUGAAUAAGCCACGGCUAACUACGGGCCAGCAGCCGCGGUAAUCCGUAGGUGGCAAGCGUUAUGCGGAAUUAAUGGGUGUAAAGGGCGUGUAGGCGGGAGUGUAAGUCAUAUGUGAAAACGAUGGGAUCAACCCAUGGCGUGCAUGUGAAAACGUCGGUCUUGCGUGCUGGAGAGGAAAGCGGAAUUCCGGGUGUAGCGGUGAAAUGAGUAGAUAUACGGAGGAACACCAGUGGCGAAGGCGGAUUGCUGGACAGUAACUGACGCUGAGGCGCGAAAGCGUGGGGAGCAAACAGGAUUAGAUACCCCAGUAGUC